UACAGAGGUGGCGAGCGUUGUUCGGAUUUACUGGGCGUAAAGGGUGCGUAGGUGGUUCUGUGUGUCGGAUGUGAAAGCUCACUGCUUAACGGUGAAAUGGCAUUCGAAACUGCGGAACUGGAGUGCAGGAGAGGAGAGCGGAAUACUUGGUGUAGCGGUGGAAUGCGUUGAUAUCAAGUAGAACACCGGUGGCGUAGGCGGCUCUCUGGAAUGCAACUGACACUGAGGCACGAAAGUUGGGGGAG
rnacentral:rRNA from 1 species